AUGGCGUCGCCGCCGCCGCCGGAGGUCGCCGUGCCGGUUGACGAGGAGGACCGGGAGGCGGAGGGAGAGGAUAUCUGCGCGUUCGAUAUACCCGGCAAGAACGCCCCGCGCGAUCGCCUGCGGCGGUGGAGGCAAAUUGCUCUUGUGCUCAACGCUUCACGCCGUUUUAGAUAUACUCUAGAUCUCGCGAGGGAUGAAGAGAGAGAAAACUUGAGAAGAGUUAUACGAGCUCAUGCACAAGUUAUACGGGCAGUAUUCCUUUUCAAAAAGGCUGGUCAAAAGGUGCUGCAAGAAUCUUACAAUGGUGCAAAAUUUGAGUCACUCUCUCAGACAUUUCCAAUUGAUCUGGAAAAGCUUGUAAUGUUGAACAGAGACCAUGAUGCAAUUAUGCUUCAGGAGGUUGGAGGGGUCAGUGGGCUUUCAGAUUUACUAAAGAGUAAUUUAGACAGAGGAGUUAGCUCAAAUGAGGACGAGCUGUUGCAGAGAAGAGACAUUUUCGGGGCAAACACCUAUCCGCGCAAGAAAAGAAAAAGCAUAUGGCGCUUUGUAUUUGAAGCUUGUCAGGAUUUAACUCUUGUGAUUCUGAUGGUAGCUGCUGCUAUAUCAUUAUCAUUGGGCAUGGCAACAGAGGGUGUAAAAGAUGGAUGGUAUGAUGGUGGAAGCAUAUUCUUUGCUGUUUUUCUUGUGAUAUUUGUUACAGCAACCAGUGAUUAUAGACAAUCUCUUCAGUUUCAACAUCUGAACGAGGAGAAACAAAAUAUACAGGUUGAGGUUAUCAGAGGUGGUAAGAGAGUAGGAGCUUCAAUAUUUGACCUUGUGGUUGGCGAUGUUGUUCCCCUCAAAAUUGGUGAUCAAGUCCCUGCAGAUGGUGUCCUGAUAUCUGGUCAUUCUCUUGCAAUAGAUGAAUCAACUAUGACGGGAGAGUCCAAAAUUGUUCAUAAGGACCAGAAUGCACCUAUGUUGAUGUCCGGUUGCAAGGUCGCAGAUGGCUAUGGCUCUAUGUUGGUAACAGGUGUGGGUACUAAUACUGAAUGGGGUAUGUUGAUGGCCAACCUUUCAGAAGAUAUUGGUGAAGAAACCCCGUUGCAGGCGCGCUUGAAUGGUGUCGCUACUUUAAUUGGUAUCGUGGGUUUAUCGGUUGCUGGUGUUGUCCUUGUCGUACUUUGGAUAAGAUAUUUUACCGGGCAUAGCAAUAAUCCAGAUGGAACUACUGCAUUUGUGGCUGGGACUACUGGUGCAAAACAGGGAUUUAUGGGGGCAAUCAGUAUUUUUACAAUUGCCGUAACUAUUGUGGUUGUUGCUGUGCCUGAAGGACUCCCUUUAGCAGUAACAUUGACCCUUGCAUAUUCAAUGCGAAAGAUGAUGCGAGACAAGGCUCUGGUGAGACGACUUUCAUCUUGUGAAACAAUGGGGUCAGCGACCACGAUUUGCAGUGACAAGACUGGAACUCUUACCUUGAAUAAGAUGACAGUUGUGGAAGCAUAUUUGAGUGGGACGAAGUUGAAUCCUUGUCAUAAUACUGGGAUGAUUUCUAGCAGUGUGGCAUCUCUACUUGUUGAAGGAAUUGCACAAAACACAGCAGGUGCCGUGUUUUCACCAGAGGAUGGAGGAGCUGCUGAAGUUGCUGGCUCACCAACUGAAAAAGCAAUUCUUUCUUGGGGUCUUAAGAUUGGGAUGAAUUUCAACGAUGUGAGGUCAAAAUCUUCAGUUCUCCGUGUUCUCCCAUUUAACUCAGUGAAGAAAUGUGGUGGCGUUGCAGUGCAGGUGUCAGAUGCUUAUGUACACAUCCACUGGAAAGGUGCUGCUGAGCUAGUAUUAGCAUCUUGCAAAAGCUGGCUUUCUAUUGAUGGUUCAGUUCAUCCAAUGAGUUUUGACAAGUAUAACGAAGUGAAGAGAUCCAUUGACGAUAUGGCAAUGAGUUCACUGCGCUGUAUUGCUUUUGCAUAUUGCACCUGCGAGCUCACAAUGGUUCCUAGAGAGGAUCUCGAUAAGUGGCAGUUGCCUGAGGAUAAUCUGACUCUUCUUGGAAUGGUCGGGAUAAAGGAUCCUUGUCGCCCAGGAGUAAGGGAUGCUGUACAAUUAUGCAGUGCUGCUGGUGUGAAGGUACGGAUGGUCACAGGAGAUAAUGUUGAAACAGCUAAGGCCAUUGCUUUCGAAUGUGGAAUACUAAAUUCAAAAGAUGUUGCUUCAGAGACAAUAAUAAUAGAGGGGAAGGUGUUCCGUGAAAUGUCUGAAACUGCACGAGAAGAAGUUGCUGUCAAGAUUACAGUAAUGGGACGGUCUUCUCCAAACGACAAGCUUUUGCUUGUACAAGCUUUGAAAAGAAAAGGCCAUGUAGUAGCUGUAACCGGUGAUGGCACCAACGACGCCCCAGCAUUGCAUGAGGCUGAUAUCGGUCUUUCAAUGGGCAUCUCGGGAACAGAAGUUGCUAAAGAAAGCUCGGACAUCAUAAUCUUGGAUGAUGACUUCACAUCCGUUGUCAAGGUUGUUCGUUGGGGGCGGUCUGUCUAUGCAAAUAUUCAGAAAUUCAUCCAGUUCCAGCUGACUGUUAAUGUCGCUGCCCUGGUAAUAAAUGUGGUAGCUGCUGUGUCCUCUGGUGCUGUUCCUCUGAAUGCAGUUGAGCUUCUUUGGGUGAACCUGAUCAUGGACACACUGGGAGCCCUUGCAUUAGCAACUGAACCACCAACAGACAACCUAAUGAAGAGACAUCCUGUUGGCAGAAGGGAACCUCUUGUUACAAAUAUCAUGUGGAGAAACCUGUUUAUCCAGGCUCUUUACCAGAUAGCAGUUCUUCUCGUCUUCAAUUUUGAUGGCAAAAGGAUUUUCCAGUUGCAUAAUGAAAGUCGAGAGCACGCUGACAAAAUUACGAACACCUUUGUCUUCAAUGCAUUUGUCUUUUGCCAAAUCUUCAAUGAGUUCAAUGCUCGCAAGCCUGAGGAGAAGAAUGUCUUGAGAGGAGUCACGAGCAACCGCCUUUUCAUGGGUAUAGUGGGUAUAACUACCAUUCUUCAGAUCUUGAUAAUUGAAUUUCUCGGAAAGUUCUUUGGGACUGUUAGGCUCGUUUGGAAGCUAUGGCUGCUAUCAGUUGCCAUUGGUGCAGUAAGCUGGCCUCUCGCGUAUGUUGGCAAGUCCAUUCCUGUUCCUGCCAGACCUUUCCAGGAUUACUUGAAGCAUUGUUGUGCCUGGAGAAGGCCACGCCGCCGCGAUGAAGAGCAGGGCGGCAAGAGCUGA
rnacentral:rRNA from 1 species